rnacentral:misc_RNA from 1 species
AUUAUUAUUAUUAUUAUUAUUAUGAUCAAAUGCAAUAUCAUCAAAUGUUGCAGUCGAUUGAGAAAUUCAUUGCAGUAGUAAGCAUAUAAAAAUGCUGGAAAGAACAAUAAGAAUAUCGGGAAAAGAAACUGAUCAUGUGUGAAAAGAUUAUAGAUUUCUGCACCCUUUUUUACAACACUUGAAUUCAAUUGAUUACAGAUUUUUCUUGAACAAAAGGUUAUACUGAUGCUAAUUUUUUCAAAAUCUCUCUUUAACAGCAGCGUGGGAUAUCAAGAAAUUCAAUCAAGGUAGAAGUGAAGUAAUUAAAACUUGGAAUGAGGAAAACUUUGCAGAAUCAUAGGGAAGUGUAAAGCAGUGGGCAAGAUAUUUCUGUAUAUAUUACUUUUUUCAUGGAAAGUGGGAACCAUUUCUUGAGGAUACUAAUUCCCAUAGUACUCUAUGUAUGAUCGAUAUUAUCUUCUCCUACAUCAGUGCAGUAUUUAUCCUAUGUUAUAUAUAUUAUUACUGUGGGCUACCUAUGAAUCAUCUUGCUGCAAAUAUACACUUGGCAGAUAACUUUAUCAGAAAUACAUAUAUAUUUGGAAAUGUUUCUGUGAUUUCUGCUGUAUAUGCAUGUAGUCA